rnacentral:rRNA from 1 species
GACGAACGCUGGCGGCGUGCCUAAUACAUGCAAGUCGAACGCAUUUUCUUUCACCGUAGCUUGCUACACCGAAAGAAAAUGAGUGGCGAACGGGUGAGUAACACGUGGGUAACCUGCCCAUCAGCGGGGGAUAACACUUGGAAACAGGUGCUAAUACCGCAUAAUUCCAUUUACUGCAUGGUAGAUGGAUGAAAGGCGCUUUUGCGUCACUGAUGGAUGGACCCGCGGUGCAUUAGCUAGUUGGUGGGGUAACGGCCUACCAAGGCUGCGAUGCAUAGCCGACCUGAGAGGGUGAUCGGCCACACUGGGACUGAGACACGGCCCAGACUCCUACGGGAGGCAGCAGUAGGGAAUCCUCGGCAAUGGACGCAAGUCUGACCGAGCAACGCCGCGUGAGUGAAGAAGGUUUUCGGAUCGUAAAACUCUGUUGUUAGAAAAGAACAAGGAUGAGAGUGGAAAGUUCAUCCCUUGACGGUAUCUAACCAGAAAGCCACGGCUAACUACGUG